rnacentral:rRNA from 1 species
GACGAACGCUGGCGGCGUGCUUAACACAUGCAAGUCGAACGGAAAGGCCCUGCUUUUGUGGGGUGCUCGAGUGGCGAACGGGUGAGUAACACGUGAGUAACCUGCCCUUGACUUUGGGAUAACUUCAGGAAACUGGGGCUAAUACCGGAUAGGAGCUUCUGCUGCAUGGUGGUGGUUGGAAAGUUUCGGCGGUUGGGGCUGGACUCGCGGCUUAUCAGCUUGUUUGUGGGGUAGUGGCUUACCAAGGCUUUGACGGGUAGCCGGCCUGAGAGGGUGACCGGCCACAUUGGGACUGAGAUACGGCCCAGACUCCUACGGGAGGCAGCAGGGGGGAAUAUUGCACAAUGGGCGGGAGCGUGAGGCGGCAACGCCGCGUGCGGGAUGACGGCCUUCGGGUUGUAAACCUCUUUCGCCUGUGACGAAGCGUGAGUGACGGUAAUGGGUAAAGAAGCACCGGCUAACUACGUG